rnacentral:sRNA from 1 species
GGUGUCCGCCAUGGCCAAAGCCUACGACCACCUCUUCAAGUUGCUGCUGAUCGGGGACUCGGGGGUGGGCAAGACUUGUCUGAUCAUUCGCUUUGCAGAGGACAACUUCAACAACACUUACAUCUCCACCAUCGGAAUUGAUUUCAAGAUCCGCACUGUGGAUAUAGAGGGGAAGAAGAUCAAACUACAAGUCUGGGACACGGCUGGCCAAGAGCGGUUCAAGACUAUAACUACUGCCUACUACCGUGGAGCCAUGGUAUGAAGUGUGGGUCUGAACAAAGGAUGAAGGAUGAGGCUACAGAAUAUAUUAUGAAUACAAAGGGUCAGGGGUUGGGGCAGGUAAAAAUGGGAGGGUGCAGUGUGGGUUGCAGAGGGCCCAACAUGGCCUAGUGUUUAGACCCAUGGAUGCGGGGUCACUUACAGGGCAGUGGGAAGCCUCAAUGGGAACAUGGUCCAAGGUGAAUUUUGUCAUCUCCCAGGGCAUUAUCCUAGUAUACGACAUCACGGAUGAGAAAUCUUUCGAGAAUAUUCAGAACUGGAUGAAAAGCAUCAAGGAGGUGAGGACCCUCCAAAAGAGAUGGGGAAACUGGUUAGAACCUGGAGAAUGAAGGGGUCCAUCAGGAUAGGCAAGACCUAACUUUUUUUUUUUUGAGAUGAAGUUUUGCUCUUGUUGCCCAGGCUGGAGUGCAAUGGCAGGAUCUCGGCUCACUGCAACCUCUGCCUCCCGGGUUCAAACGAUUUUCCUGCCUCAGCCUCCCAAGUAGCUGGGAUUACAGGCAUGCACCACCAUGCUCGGCUAAUUUUGCAUUUUUAGUAGAGACGGGGUUUCUCCAUGUUGGUCAGGCUGAUCUUGAACUCCUGCAUCAGGUGAUCCACCCGCCUUGGCCUCCCAAAGUGCUGGGAUUACAGGCGUGAGCCACCGCUCCCGGCCGGCAGGACCUAACUUUUACUUGUCUUUUGCCCCCAGAAUGCCUCGGCUGGGGUGGAGCGCCUCUUGCUGGGGAACAAAUGUGACAUGGAGGCCAAGAGGAAGGUGCAGAAGGAGCAGGCCGAUAAGGUGAGGGCCAGGCUGAGCAAUGUUCUAGAACUGGGCUGGGAGGGCCAAGAUAGGUUGCAUUGCAGAGGACUUGGCUGCUGUCCUUAAUUCAAUUCUCUUCCCACUUCACCCCUUAUAGUUGGCUCGAGAGCACGGAAUCCGAUUUUUCGAAACUAGUGCUAAAUCCAGUAUGAAUGUGGAUGAGGUGAGAUCCACACCCCCAUCCCCGACCAAGAGAGGAAGUAUUAGAAGGUAGAUUCUCCUCCCUCCAAACUGACUCUGUUCCCCACUUUAGGCUUUUAGUUCCCUGGCCCGGGACAUCUUGCUCAAGUCAGGAGGCCGGAGAUCAGUAAGUUGGUUUUGCUGGACUAGGUACAACUCUGGGGUGUGUGUGUGUGUGUGUAUGUAUGUGUGUGUGUGUGUGUGUGUGUGUUGGUGUUGAUAAAAACGGGGAGCAAUGCUAAGAUUUCUCAUGAGGGUGCAUUUACUUUAAACAGUUUAUACCCUCCUACCCUAACCAUCCAUUCACACCAUGACCCCUGUGCCCUUCUCCCUCUAGGGAAACGGCAACAAGCCUCCCAGUACUGACCUGAAAACUUGUGACAAGAAGAACACCAACAAGUGCUCCCUGGGCUGAGGAUCCUUUCUUGCCUCCCCACCCCGGAAGCUGAACCUGAGGGAGACAACGGCAGAGGGAGUGAGCAGGGGAGAAAUAGCAGAGGGGCUUGGAGGGACACAUAGGUAGAUGGUAAAGAGAAUGAGGAGAAAAAGGAGAAAAGGGAAAAGCAGAAAGGAAAAGAAGGAAGAGAGAGGAAGGGAGAAGGGAGAGGAAUGAAUUGAGGAAGUGAAAGAAGGCAAGGAGGUAGGAAGAGAGGGAGGAGGAAAGGAAGGAGAGAUGCCUCAGGCUUCAGACCUUACCUGGGUUUUGAGGGCAAACAUAAAUGUAAAUACACUGAUUUAUUCUGUUACUAGAUCAGGUUUUAGGGUCCUGCAAAGGGCUAGCUCGGCACUACACUAGGGAAUUUGCUCCUGUUCUGUCACUUGUCAUGGUCUUUCUUGGUAUUAAAGGCCACCAUUUGCAC